rnacentral:rRNA from 1 species
UACGAAGGGGGCUAGCGUUGCUCGGAAUGACUGGGCGUAAAGGGCGCGUAGGCGGAUGGCACAGUCAGAUGUGAAAUUCCCGGGCUUAACCUGGGGGCUGCAUUUGAUACGUGUUGUCUUGAGUUCGGAAGAGGGUCGUGGAAUUCCCAGUGUAGAGGUGAAAUUCGUAGAUAUUGGGAAGAACACCGGUGGCGAAGGCGGCGACCUGGUACGACACUGACGCUGAGGCGCGAAAGCGUGGGGAGCAAACAGG